rnacentral:rRNA from 1 species
UACGUAGGGGGCUAGCGUUGUCCGGAAUUACUGGGCGUAAAGGGCGCGUAGGCGGUGUGUCAAGUCAGGCGUGAAAGCCCCGGGCUCAACCUGGGAACAGCGCUUGAGACUGGCACGCUCGAGUUCGGGAGAGGAUGGUGGAAUUCCCAGUGUAGAGGUGAAAUUCGUAGAUAUUUGGGAAGAACACCGAUGGGCGAAGGCAGCCAUCUGGACCGACACUGACGCUGAGGCGCGAAAGCGUGGGGGAGCAAACAGG